AAGUACACCUCAGAGGUGAAGUCUUAAUGUCCAAGACAUUUGUGUGUGUGUGUGUGUGUGUGCGUGUGUGUGUGUGUGCGUGUGUGUGUGUGCGCGCAUGCGUGCGUGUGUGUGUGUGUGUGCGUGUGUGUGUGUGUGUACCUAGCUUGUAGAGCUCAGUAAAGAAGCUAUUUUUUGUUUAAGAUAGAAAGUUGUGUCUGGAGGGAAAAGAGAAUCAAUAACAACUAUUCACUGACUGAAAUCCACACCUAUUUUCCUGAGCUGCAACACAGGGACGGAGCAGAGCCAGAGGGUCAGCAUUAGCAACAGCGGAUAGCAACUCUAGAGCAAAUCAGCCAGCAGCAGGACAAGGUGCAUGCCUGGUCAGGUCUAUUCUAUUCAAGGGGAAAUGGAUUAGUAAAGAUAACGGUCAUUAGUAAUGAUUUCUGAAAGGCUAAUGCCAUGUGCUUUGAUUUGAACUAUUGCGUUAUUAAUAAACAAUGUAUUAAAGAUUUGAGAUAUGUGCUGGCAGUAGUUCACCAGCCUCAUAAAAGAACAGUCAAUAUCUACUUACCUAAUGCCAAUGGGACUGAGGGAUCCAUGAUAUAAUGUUAAACUACAGCUCCAGUGAUUCUAGUAAUCCUAAUUAGCUGUUACGAUGUAGGUGGGGUGCCAUCUUAAGCAGUACCGGAUGGUUGCAAAACAGCCUCCAGAAAUGAAUUCCAAGGAAUAAAGGAUAACAGCCAUAAGCCUUUUGGACCACAUUACUGCAAGAUGACAUGAGGGCAGUGGGCUGUCUCUCUUCAUUACUCAGGAAGUUGCUCUCUACUUGUUUUUGUGGUCCUGAGCCAGCUGAGCAAGAAAAACAAAUCCGAGUGACUUGAGCAAUCCAGCACCAGAAAACGUCACGAAACAGCAUAAGGGAGACCAGAGACCAGAGGCAGAGUGGGACUCCAGAACGGAACCACAGCUUUGCUGUUCAGCUUUGGGGACCCCGGUUUUGAAUUUGUUACGAGCCGUAUAGUGUCUGCUGUAUCCUGGAAAGAGUUAAAAAAAAAUCCCAUUUUGUAUCUUGGAAAUCUGCGAGAUUACGUUACAGACUUCGUCCAGCAGGUGGGGCUGACCUGUGCUGUAAACUGGGCUGCCUCCUGGGGCGAGUCGGAUUUGCUGUCUCCACACACGUUUCCUCGACGGAUGUCCUUGACAGACACGUUCUUCACGUUGAAGCCCAC